rnacentral:rRNA from 1 species
UAGGGAAUCUUCCGCAAUGGACGCAAGUCUGACGGAGCAACGCCGCGUGAGUGAAGAAGGAUUUCGGUUCGUAAAACUCUGUUGUUAGAGAAGAACAGCGCAUAGAGUAACUGUUAUGCGUGUGACGGUAUCUAACCAGAAAGCCACGGCUAACUACGUGCCAGCAGCCGCGGUAAUACGUAGGUGGCAAGCGUUGUCCGGAUUUAUUGGGCGUAAAGCGAGCGCAGGCGGUCAAUUAAGUCUGAUGUGAAAGCCCCCGGCUCAACCGGGGAGGGUCAUUGGAAACUGGUUGACUUGAGUACAGAAGAGGGGAGUGGAAUUCCAUGUGUAGCGGUGAAAUGCGUAGAUAUAUGGAGGAACACCAGUGGCGAAGGCGACUCUCUGGUCUGUAACUGACGCUGAGGCUCGAAAGCGUAGGUAGCAAACAGG